GAAGGUGACAGGUCUAGGAGUCUCCCCUGAUCUUCUUUGGGGUCCUGGCUUAAGAGACCACGUAUCUCAGCUGAGUUCAGUACUCCUCACAGCCACAGCCAUCUUGAGAUCUCUACACUGAUGAUGUUGUCUGUGUUUGGACUCUCCGUCCCCAUCUCGGCCACAGAGCUUCUCCUGGCCUCCUUUGUCUUCUGCCUGGUGUUCUGGGUGGUCAGGGCCUGGCAGCCUCGGGUUCCCAAAGGCCUGAAGAGUCCACCAGGGCCCUGGGGCUGGCCUCUGCUCGGGCAUGUGCUGACCUUGGGGAAGAACCCACAUCUGGUGCUGGCAAGGCUGAGCCAGCAUUACGGGGACGUGCUGCAAAUCCGCAUCGGCUCCACACCCGUGCUGGUGCUCAGCGGCCUGGACACCAUCCGGCAGGCUCUGGUGCGUCAGGGUGAUGAUUUCAAGGGGCGGCCCAAUCUCUACAGCUUCACUCUGAUCUCUGAGGGCCAAAGCAUGUCCUUCAGCCCAGACUCUGGACCGGUGUGGGCCGCCCGCAGGCGCCUGGCCCAGAACGCCCUGAAGAGUUUCUCCAUUGCCUCAGACCCGGCUUCCUCAUCCUCCUGCUACCUGGAAGACCAUGUGAGCAAGGAGGCUGAGUACCUCAUUGGCAAGUUCCAGGAGCUGAUGGCAAAAGUUGGGCACUUUGACCCCUAUAGAUAUGUAGUGGUGUCAGUGGCCAAUGUCAUCUGCGCCAUGUGUUUUGGCCGGCGCUAUGACCAUGAUGACCAAGAGCUGCUUAGCAUAGUCAACCUGAGUAAUGAGUUCGGGGAUGGCACUGCCUCUGGGAACCCUGUGGACUUCUUCCCCAUCCUUCGAUACCUACCCAACCCUGCCCUGGAUUUCUUCAAGGAUGUGAAUGAGAAGUUCUCCAUCUUCAUUCAUAAGAUGGUCAAGGAACACUACAAAACUUUUGAGAAGGGUCACAUUCGGGAUAUCACAGACAGCCUGAUUGAGCACUGUCAGGACAAGAGGCUGGACGAGAAUGCGAAUAUCCAGCUGUCCGACGAGAAGAUUGUUAACGUUGUCUCGGACCUCUUCGGAGCUGGAUUUGACACAGUCACAACUGCCAUCUCCUGGUGCCUCAUGUACCUGGUGACGAGCCCCAAUGUACAGGAAAAGAUCCAGAAGGAGCUGGACACAGUGAUUGGGAGGGAGCGGCAGCCCCGGCUCUCUGACAGACUCCAGCUGCCCUACAUGGAAGCAUUCAUCCUGGAGAUGUUCCGACAUACCUCCUUCGUCCCUUUCACUAUCCCCCAUAGGAAGCUAUGGGGUGACCCAUCUGAGUUCCGACCAGAACGAUUUCUCACUCCUGAUGGCACCAUCAACAAGGCACUGAGUGAGAAGGUGAUUCUCUUUGGUUUGGGCAAGAGGAAGUGCAUCGGUGAGACCAUUGCCCGCUUGGAGGUCUUUCUCUUCCUGGCCAUCCUGCUGCAGCAGGUGGAAUUCAGUGUGCCACAGGGCACGAAGGUGGAUAUGACCCCUAUUUAUGGGCUGACCAUGAAGCAUGCCCGCUGUGAGCACUUCCAAGUGCGGAUGCGCACUUAG
rnacentral:lncRNA from 1 species